rnacentral:rRNA from 1 species
UACGGAGGGGGCUAGCGUUGUUCGGAAUUACUGGGCGUAAAGCGCACGUAGGCGGCUUUGUAAGUUAGAGGUGAAAGCCCGGAGCUCAACUCCGGAAUUGCCUUUAAGACUGCAUCGCUCGAAUCAUGGAGAGGUGAGUGGAAUUCCGAGUGUAGAGGUGAAAUUCGUAGAUAUUCGGAGGAACACCAGUGGCGAAGGCGGCUCACUGGUCCAUUACUGACGCUGAGGUGCGAAAGCGUGGGGAGCAAACAGG